UUUGAAUGUUCUGGAGGCAUCCCACAUCAUCAUGUGAUCACAAUUACUCACCUGCAGCUGUGGCAGUGGGCACCCCAUUUAUACCCUAUGACCAUUUCAGUACAGCCAGCCCAACUUCCAAGUCUACUUUCUUCUCCUGAAGCUCUUUCUGGCCUCUAAAGGCAGCUUUGCCCAUACAUGGAGCAGAUCAGAAGUGAAAAGAACCGGCUUUCUCUGUGGUUAUAACUUGAUUUGCAAACGGCAAGUGAAAGGCAGUUCUCCCUGAAAAGAAUCCUGUUCAUGCAUCACCCAGGAUCCUGGAACAGCUGCCUCCUCUCUAAGCAGAAGAGCCCUGGUGGCCUCUGUGCAUGAAGACCAUUUGGGGCCUAAUGAAGUGCAAAGGUAUUUUGUGCUCUGGACCCAGGAGUGCAACAGUUACUGGCUGCUGAAGGCAGACAUUAAGGAGAACCAUUUUAAUUGAUUAGAAUGUGCAUAUGCU
rnacentral:lncRNA from 10 species